UCGCAGAUCAGAAUGCUGCGGUGAAUACGUUCCCGGGUCUUGUACACACCGCCCGUCACACAUGGGAGUUGGAAAUGCCCGAAGCCUGUGAGCUGACAUUAAGAGGCAGCAGUCGAAGGUAGAAUCAAUGAUUGGGGUGAAGUCGUAACAAGGUACC
rnacentral:rRNA from 1 species